rnacentral:rRNA from 1 species
GACGAACGCUGGCGGCGUGCCUAAUACAUGCAAGUAGAACGCUGAAGCGAGGAGCUUACUCUUCUUGGAUGAGUUGCGAACGGGUGAGUAACGCGUAGGUAACCUGCCUUGUAGCGGGGGAUAACUAUUGGAAACGAUAGCUAAUACCGCAUAACAAUGGAUGACACAUGUCAUUUAUUUGAAAGGGGCAAUUGCUCCACUACAAGAUGGACCUGCGUUGUAUUAGCUAGUAGGUGAGGUAAUGGCUCACCUAGGCGACGAUACAUAGCCGACCUGAGAGGGUGAUCGGCCACACUGGGACUGAGACACGGCCCAGACUCCUACGGGAGGCAGCAGUAGGGAAUCUUCGGCAAUGGGGGCAACCCUGACCGAGCAACGCCGCGUGAGUGAAGAAGGGUGUCGGAUCGUAAAGCUCUGUUGUAAGUCAAGAACGGGUGUGAGAGUGGAAAGUUCACACUGUGACGGUAGCUUACCAGAAAGGGACGGCUAACUACGUG